UUGGAGGGCAAGUCUGGUGCCAGCAGCCGCGGUAAUUCCAGCUCCAAUAGCGUAUAUUAAAGUUGUUGCAGUUAAAAAGCUCGUAGUUGAAUUUCGGGGUUUAUACGUUGGUCGGGCUUUUGGGUCUGUACUGGCGUAAUGAAUUCCUACCUUCUGAAUAACCAGCAUGUCAUUAAUUUGAUGCGCCGGGGAAGCAGGACUGUUACCUUGAAAAAAUUAGAGUGUUUAAAGCAGGCUUUAGCUUGAAUACAUUAGCAUGGAAUAAUGAAAUAGGACGUUUGAUCCUAUUUUGUUGGUUUCUAGGAUUGACGUAAUGAUUAAUAGGGAUAGUUGGGGGCAUUAGUAUUCAAUUGUCAGAGGUGAAAUUCUUGGAUUUAUUGAAGACUAACUACUGCGAAAGCAUUUGCCAAGGAUGUUUUCAUUAAUCAAGAACGAAAGUUAGGGGAUCGAAGACGAUCAGAUACCGUCGUAGUCUUAACCAUAAACUAUGCCGACUAGGGAUCGGAUGAUGUUAAUUUUUUAAUGACUCAUUCGGCGCCUUACGGGAAAC
rnacentral:rRNA from 1 species